GAUGAACGCUGGCGGCGUGCCUAAUACAUGCAAGUCGAGCGAACAGAUGAGGAGCUUGCUCCUCUGACGUUAGCGGCGGACGGGUGAGUAACACGUGGAUAACCUACCUAUCAGACUGGGAUAACUUCGGGACACCGGAGCUAAUACCGUAUAAUAUAUUGAACCGCAUGGUUCAAUAGUGAAAGACGGUUUUGCUGUCACUUAUAGAUGGAUCCGCGCCGCAUUAGCUAGUUGGUAAGGUCACGGCUUACCAAGGCAACGAUGCGUAGACGACCUGAGAGAGUGAUCGGCCACACUGGAACGGAGACACGGUCCAGACUCCUACGGGAGGCAGCAGUAGGGAAUCUUCCGCAAUGGGCGAAAGCCUGACGGAGCAACGCCGCGUGAGUGAUGAAGGUCUUCGGAUCGUAAAACUCUGUUAUUAGGGAAGAACAAAUGUGUAAGUAACAAUGCACGUCUUGACGGUACCUAAUCAGAAAGCCACGGCUAACUACGUG
rnacentral:rRNA from 1 species